GUGCUCGCUUUAGCAGCACAUAUACUAAAAUUGGAAUGAUACACAGAUUAGCAUGGUCCCUGCACAAGGAUGAUGCACAAAUUCAUGAAGUGUUCUAUAUUUAA
ensembl:snRNA U6 U6 spliceosomal RNA